GGGGCAGUAGCUCAGUUGGGAGAGCGUCUCGUUCGCAACGAGAAGGUCGGCGGUUCGACUCCGCUCUGCUCCA
rnacentral:tRNA from 2 species